rnacentral:rRNA from 1 species
AACGAACGCUGGCGGCAGGUCUUAGGCAUGCAAGUCGAACGGGUGUAGCAAUACAUCAGUGGCGCACGAGUGAGUAACGCGUGGGAAGCUGCCCUUCACUGGGGAAUAACGUUUGGAAACGAACGCUAAUACCGCAUACGCCGGAAACGGGAAAGAUUUAUCGGUGAAGGAUGCGCCCGCGUUGGAUUAGCUUGUUGGUGGGGUAACGGCCUACCAAGGCGAUGGUCCAUAGCUGGUCUGAGAGGACGAUCAGCCACGCUGGAACUGAGACACGGUCCAGACGCCUACGGGAGGCAGCAGCUAAGAAUAUUGGACAAUGGGGGAAACCCUGAUCCAGCCAUGCCGCGUGAAUGAAGAAGGCCUUCGGGUUGUAAAGUUCUUUUAGUCGUGAAGAUGAUGACAGUAGCGACAGAAAAAGCACCGGCUAACUUCGUGCCAGCCGCCGCAGUAA